CGCCCCAAAUCUUACAUAGAUAUAUAGGAAAGAGACUUAGAUGCCUCUAACUUAUGUAAAAUUUGCUCAAAUCUAUUACUUUCUUGACACAGCUUCUCUCAAAGUACAAAGAAAAUGGUUGCAAAGUAACAAUUCAUUGGUGUUAACUGCUUGUGCAAGGAGCCAAGGCCUAUCCUACUUACAUGGCUUAGGAUUACCAUGAGAACAGUAAGAGAGAUAUGUGGUCAGAGAGCCUAUCCAGCCAAACUUCCUGGACAAGAGAUCUCGUUUUUGUUGUUGUUUUGAGGCACAGAGUUGACCAUGAGCCCGUACUGGCAUUAAUGGGUCAAAAAAACUGUAGACUUGAUAAAGCUAGAAACAAUCAAUCUCCCUGGACCUCAAUGAAACGUUGUGCAUUCAUAAAUUGUCCAAACCCUGGAUGCCAUGGACCAUCUUUAUGUUGUAUAAUAACCGUAGUGGUUAUAAAAGUGCUACAGUCAAGUCCCCCUUUGUAACAUUGGAGUAUCUUUGGAUCAUGUGAUAGGUGGAUUUUGUGUGACAAAGAGUUGAAUUCAUUGAGAUUUGUAGAGGAGACCAUCAGUGGAUACUGGAGACGAACCAGUACAACAAAUUCCACCAGUUCUUCUGAUUGUCCCAGCAUUGAUAUAUUUCAAUUUUUUUUAAAAAAAAAACAAGUUUUAUUUGUGUGUAUCUUUUUUUGUCUAUUAGUUUUUUUGAUGUUUUUACUAUAAAAAAAAUUUCAGCAUAAAAAUAAAUUACUAAAAUAAAAUAAAUAAAAACAUAAAAAUAAACAGGAGGAUGAAUCUGAGAUCUCUGUACUUAUAAAUAGGCUAUUUGUAAUAUUUAUAUACAUGUGUUUACUUCCAUUAAGUAUAAAAAGAAAUGCAGGGCAAGCUAAAAUUACAUAGUAGAGGAAUAAAUAAAGAGUUGGAUAUAGGUGUAUUUGUGCUCAAAGAACUCUGAGAUUUAAAUACUGGCCGAUUUCAGCUGUGUUAUACAAAACACUGUUUUUGGUUCUGGCAUGGUUCCCCUCCUUUAAAAUAAGAAGAAAUAAAGAAUAAACUUAUCUAGAAUCCCACACAGGGGACAAGUUCUUCCUGCAGGCCUUUGAUCCUUCGAUGAUGUCACUCCCACUCGCUACAGGAGGAGGGAUGUCCCAGAGGCCAGGCUGAGUUAGAAAUUGGGUGGUACAGAGGGCUAGGCUGUACCGCCAUUUAUAGUCUGUCGUGCCAAGCUGCUAUGCUUGCUGACGAUAGAGGCCUUAUAUGAUCAGGAUUAACAUUAGCGGAGAGAGAUGCUGAUGGUGGAAUUACACAGCAAAGUGCAUUAUCUCUGUAUGUGCAGCAUUUCUGAAACCCUGCACAGACUCCAAGCACCAUGACCACUUCAAAUCACUAAAAGUUAACUUUCAAUAAAAAAACAGAACAUUUAAAGGGACACUAUUGUCACCAAAAUAACUUUAGCGUAAUUAUGCAGAUUUAGUGUAUAGAUCAUGCCCCUGCAGUCUCACUGCUCAAUUCUCUGUCAUUUAGGAGUUAAUUCGCUUUGCUUAUGCACCUCUAGUCACACCUCUGUGCGUGUGACUUACACAGCCUUCCGAAACACUUCCUGUAAAGAGUUAUCUAAUGUUUACACUUCCUUUUUUGCAAAUUCGAUUUAAUGUAAAAUGUAUUAACUCCUGCACUGUUAAUAGCUUGGUAGACCCAGCAGGAGCCUCCUGUAUGUAAUUACAGCUCAAUUUACAGAGGUGGAGAUAAAAAGCUUUCAAAGUGAGUUAUAUCUGAUUGAAAGUCAAACCAUUUUGUUUUCAUGCAGGCUGUGUCAGUCACAUCUAGGUGAGAUGUGGCUAGGGCUGCAUAAACUGAAACAAAAGUGAUUUAACUCCUAAAUGUCAGUGAACUGAGCAGUGAAACGUCAAAGGUAUGAUCUAUACACCUAAACUGCUUCAUUAAGCUAAAGCUAUAGUGUCCCUUUAAUGAAAACUGUAGACUGAUAAUACAUUUUUCUUGUUUUGAGGUCUAAUGAGUAAGUUAUUUGUUUUAUUUGUAUAGUAGUGACAAAGUUGGGGCAUAUAUAUAUAUAUAUGCCCCAAUAUAUAAUAAUUACUAUAAAAUCUUAG